UACGUAGGGGGCUAGCGUUAUCCGGAAUUACUGGGCGUAAAGGGUGCGUAGGUGGUUUCUUAAGUCAGAGGUGAAAGGCUACGGCUCAACCGUAGUAAGCCUUUGAAACUGGGAAACUUGAGUGCAGGAGAGGAGAGUGGAAUUCCCAGUGUAGCGGUGAAAUGCGUAGAUAUUGGGAGGAACACCAGUGGCGAAGGCGGCUCACUGGACCGGAACUGACGCUGAGGCGCGAAAGCGUGGGGAGCAAACGGG
rnacentral:rRNA from 1 species